CCUACGGGAGGCAGCAGUGGGGAAUAUUGGACAAUGGAGGCAACCCUGAUCCAGCCAUGCCGCGUGUGUGAAGAAGGCCCUCGGGUUGUAAAGCACUUUCAGUGAGGAAGAACGCCUGGUGGUUAAUACCCAUCAGGAAAGACAUCACUCACAGAAGAAGCACCGGCUAACUCCGUGCCAGCAGCCGCGGUAAUACGGAGGGUGCGAGCGUUAAUCGGAAUUACUGGGCGUAAAGCGCGCGUAGGUGGCUUGAUAAGCCGGUUGUGAAAGCCCCGGGCUCAACCUGGGAACGGCAUCCGGAACUGUCAAGCUAGAGUGCAGGAGAGGAAGGUAGAAUUCCCGGUGUAGCGGUGAAAUGCGUAGAGAUCGGGAGGAAUACCAGUGGCGAAGGCGGCCUUCUGGACUGACACUGACACUGAGGUGCGAAAGCGUGGGUAGCAAACAGGAUUAGAUACCCUUGUAGUC
rnacentral:rRNA from 1 species